rnacentral:lncRNA from 1 species
AAAAAACAUUUUUACAGGAAUUCCUGGUUGUUUCAUGAAAGGGCCGUAUAUUCAAAGUGACCUCCAAAUACAGAAGGAGCUGAGAAACUAAAGAAUGAAGCAGACAAAUCCAGCUUGUCAGCAAAAGGUGAUUUAUUAGGGAACUUACGGACAGAAGCAUGGUCUUGGACAGCAGCAAGACAGAGUUCACCAAUUCAUCUAUUCCCUCUCCUAAGUCAAAUACUAUGGCAAAAGUCUGACUACCCUGAGACCACCAUGCUGUAAGGAAGCCUUGCUAGCCAUGUGGAGAGAGAAACCAUGUGCAGAGCACCAAGGCACCAGACUUAUGAGUGAAGGCUUUGAAUUCCCAGCCCGCCCACCACCUGAAUGCAGGUG